GAUGAACGCUGGCGGCGUGCCUAAUACAUGCAAGUCGAGCGAACAGACGAGGAGCUUGCUCCUCUGACGUUAGCGGCGGACGGGUGAGUAACACGUGGAUAACCUACCUAUAAGACUGGGGUAACUUCGGGAAACCGGAGCUAAUACCGGAUAAUAUAUUGAACCGCAUGGUUCAAUAGUGAAAGACGGUUUUGCUGUCACUUAUAGAUGGAUCCGCGCCGCAUUAGCUAGUUGGUAAGGUAACGGCUUACCAAGGCAACGAUGCGUAGCCGACCUGAGAGGGUGAUCGGCCACACUGGAACUGAGACACGGUCCAGACUCCUACGGGAGGCAGCAGUAGGGAAUCUUCCGCAAUGGGCGAAAGCCUGACGGAGCAACGCCGCGUGAGUGAUGAAGGUCUUCAGAUCGUAAAACUCUGUUAUUAGGGAAGAACAAAUGUGUAAGUAACUAUGCACGUCUUGACGGUACCUAAUCAGAAAGCCACGGCCAACUACGUG
rnacentral:rRNA from 1 species